rnacentral:rRNA from 1 species
GAAUUUUUCUUAAUUUGUGCAGAGACAAUUAUUAAUAUUAAGGACAAGAAGACCCUAUGAAUUUAUUAAAUUUAUAUUAAUGAGAAUAUCCCAUUAAAUAAAUUUUGGCUGGGGCGGCAAGAAAAUAUCAAAAACUUUUCAGAUAAUAAAAUGAUCCAUUAGUAAUGAUUACAUGUUAAAUACUCUAGGGAUAACAGCGUUAUAUUUUUUGAUAGAUCAUAUUGACAAAAAAGUUUGCGACCUCGAUGUUGGAU